AAAUCAACUUAAAUCUAGAAUUUUAUUUCCCAACAACACUUAAACCAAUUGAUCCUAAAAAGUCUCGCCUUUUCAGAUCUUUUUCUUCUAUCUCGUCUUCGGUUCAUCCGAAAAGGAAAAACCCAAAUUAGUUCUCCCCUCUCUAUUUCAAUCAUCAACUGAAAGUAGGAAAUACUUGUCUCCUCUCGUUAUUUUUGUGUAGGUAUGUGGUUGUCGAUCUGUGUUUGGUCGAUGUGUAAAUGGUUUAUUCUUAAUUGUUAAAUUUGGGAGUUAGGGUUCUUAUGUGCAUGGUGAUAAGGUGAUAGUCUAGAUGGGUAAUUUGAGGGGAGUUAGGGUUCUUAUGUGCAUGGUGAUAAGGUGAUAGUCUAGAUGGGUAAUUUAAGGAACCAUGACAUCUUGUGAUUAGUAAUUCCGUAUCAUGAUUUACUCUUUCUGAUACUUCUCUAUUUGAUUGUGUUUAAUUUUCAUAUUUGGUCUUCAUCUUCCUUGUUUAACAGUGACCUAAUGCAGGAUUCCAUCUCUAGAGAACCAAUUUUGAUAGGGCUUCUUUGCUCAAAUCUGUUGGUACCACUUCCAAUGCUCCUCUACUCAUUGACAAGGAAUAAUACAUCAAGCUUUUUAAAGUUUAAUUUCAUCAUAUGUUCUGUUUUCCACGUAGAAAUCCGAUGUAGAACUCUUGUUAUCUGAUUUGGCUGUGAAUAAACUGAUGAAUAUGUGCAAAGUGUUUGAUGAAAUGCAUCAACGAAAUGGAAUUAUUUUAUAAGCACCUGAUAUUUGAAUAAUUCUUCUCAAAUUUUUAAAGUUAGAUGCCAUAUUUUGGUUAUGUGACGGUGGUGAUGUGGGGGUGAUCUGAUCGAAAACUUAGGUGUCAUCUUGUCUCAUAUUUCAGUUCUCGUAUUGCGAUGGCAUUCCUGAAUCGCCAAAUGAUUUUCUUGGUAAUAAGAAGUUUAUCAUUGUUGGAGUUGGAAUCAAUGGUGAUGCUUAAAAUCUUUGGCACCAAGUCCUGCUGCAAACUUGCUCGUGGUUUUGUUGAGGCGUUUGUUCUUUCAGAUAUGCCCAUGAUGACUAUAACACAUAGCUUCAUUGUUUUCACCUGAUUCUCUUUUACUAUCGAGUCUGCCAAUGAAUAAUGAUCUAAGCUAAUGGUUACAAAUCCUAGUGUUUAGAGCAUUGGUCUCAUUCAUUUACUUAAUAAUUUUAACUAUAUAUGUAUAUAUAUAUAUAUAUGUUAAUAUAAAUUUACCCCGUUACCAACCUUGAAUAUAUGUUUUUCAAUAAUAGAAUGCUUGUUCUCCUUGUUUUCCAGAUUGCUUCUGAAGGACUCAAUCACCAAGUGUUGGAGGUUUCAUGGCUGAUCUUUGAGGAAAUGAGGAUCAAUCGUACAUGAAGUUCAGACUUAAAGUUGAGGAUGUUCAAAGAAAGAAUUUUCUUACCAACUGGGGAAUGGAUUUUACAGUUGAGAUCUCUUGCAAGUAAGUGGCAGACAUUGAUUGAAGCUCAUAAUGAUGUCAAGACAACAUACAACUUCACCUUGAGGAUGUUCUGCAUUAGAUUCACCAAGUAGCGAGACAAACAGGUCAAGAGAACCUGUUAUGCUCAAUCUAGCCAGAUUUGAGAGAUUCGUCGCAAGAUGGUUGAAAUCAUGGUUACCAGGCCUCUUCAAGUGAUUUAAAGAAUUGGUGGCAGAAUUUAUCCCUGAGAUGAUUGGAAAAGGAUAUUGAGAAGGGUACAUCAAGCAUUUUCCCAUUGCAGAAUGCCUUCAUCAGGAAGGUCAUGAUCAAAAGUUUGAUAAAAUUAUGGAUGCAAGUUGUGUAAUGCGAUAGGGAAGGAGUACUUGGAGAUGUUGCAAGAGGUGACAUGACUAAAUGGCCAAAAACUUAUGUAAAUCUUGUAGGAGAGUUACCAUAUUAGAGUGACAAUAUCAGUAGAUGGAAUUCCGUUUUAAUGCUUAAUAUGCGAUUUUAGGUCGCUAUAAUCUAUCUUUCGGUUUCAGAAAUUCUAUGUUUUGAAUGUUAUUUUGGGUAUUAAUAUAAAGUUAAAUUCAUCUUUAAAUCGCA